UUUUAGUAAUAUUAAGUUAAGAAAUGUAAUUGAUCUAACACAAUUAUGUCAUAUUGAUUAAACUUACUUUUCAAAAAUCGUGCAUUGGAAUUUUUUACCUUUUAAUAUUGAUUAAACUUACUUUUCAAAAAUCGCGCAUUGGAAUUUUUUACCUUUUAAUUGUUCUUAGUUAAUUUACUUAGUUAAAACCUAGUUUUAUUCAACCCUUUUUCAAAGCAAACGAUUUUCCUUCACCAAAGUGUUUUUAAUUGCAUUUCAUAAAUAUUUCUUUACAUAAUCCCUAUAGGUACAAUAACUUGACAUUUACUUGCUACUUUAUUACUUGUUGCAAUUGUGUACACUUGCACAUUUCCAUUGUUUCAAGCAGCGUGCAUGAGCUAACUAGCUAAAAAAUGGUGACAGCAACACAUCCUUUUUUCCAUAAGUUUGCUACAAAAAGAUGUCGGCGAAAUAAGGUUGAUAGUCUUUCGGAUUCUAAUAGUUUGAAGUACAAGAGUAAUGAGGAGAUGUUGUCGCUCGCCACUGAUUAGUUUGACUCCCUUUCACAUUGAAUGGAAUUAGAAAUCUCGAAGCUAUCUUGGAAGGGAUUGCUCCGUGUAUAUCCAGAACGAUAAAUGAGAAUCUUGAACAGGACUUUUCUUAUGAGGAAGUGUGUGUGGCUCUAAAAUCUUUGAAUCCAUUGAAGGCUUUUGGAGAGGAUGGUUUAGGUGCCGUAUUUUAUCAACAGUUUUGGCACAUUGUUGGAAAGGAGGUAGCAGACUACUGUACAACGAGUUUUAAUGGUGGUCAUAAUAUUGCCGACAUAAAUCAAACAUAGAUUGUGUUGAUCCCUAAGGUUAGCUGUCCUACGCUCAUGACUUACUUUCGACCCAUUAGUCUAUGUAAUAUCCUCUACAAAAUUAUUACAAAAAUGUUAGUGAACAGAUUCCAAAAAGUCUUCCACUAUUGUAUAGAUGAGGGGCGAAGUGCAUUUGUCUUGGGGCGACUAAUCAUUGAUAAUAUCAUCACUGCAUAUGAAAUUUUACAUUCCAUGAGGAGGAAAAGAGUUAGGAAUGAGGGGUCUUUUGCUCUAAAUCUUGACAUAAGUAAAGCGUAUGACAAGGUUAAAUGGGCUUUCAUUAGGGCCAUGCUUAAAAGAUUGGGUUUUUCAGAGUUGUGGGUUUAAAAAAUUAUGCGUUGUAUUGAAACGGUAUCUUAUUCAGUGGUUAUGAACAGUGAGGUGGGAAAUUUGUUUCUUCCUUCUCAGGGCCUUAGACAAAAGGAUCCGCUUAGGUCUUAUUUGUUUCUCAUUUGUGGAGAGGGACUUUCAGCUUUUCUUCGGACGACAGUUGUGAAUGGGGAUCUUAAAGGUGUUCCAAUUAACAAGCAUGCCCUUUUAUUACCUAUUCGUUUUUCGCUGAUGACAGUCUUAUUUUUGGGAAGGCCACAACUGAAGGAGCCAUGGCGCUUAAAGAAAAAAUGGAGACUUAUGCUUAGAGUUCAGGACAAUUGAUAAAUUUCGACAAGUCUGGUAUGUUCUUUAGUUCCAAUGUUGUGCGGAGAAACAGAGAGGAGAUUUAUCAAAUUCUAGGUGUUAAUCUGAAUAUGAAUAAAGAAAAGUAUUUGGGGCUUCCUUCGGUUGUAGGAAAAACAAAAAGGAGGCAUUUAGGGAGGAAAAAAGAAAGGCUACUGAAAAAUGUAUCUAGUUGUAGUUCAAGAAUGCUUUCGGUGGGGGGAAAGGAAGUUUUAAUUAAAGCAGUGUAAUAGGCAAUCCCCAUGUAUGCAAUUUUUUUUUUUGCUACCCAAUUCUUUUUGUAAAGAACUCGAAUAUAUUACUGCUAAAUUUUGAUGGCAAAAGAAAGCUGGAAGAAAGGGUUUACAUUGGUGUUCUUGGAACUCAUUUUGUAUUCCAAAAUGGAAUGAAGGUAUGGGUUUCAAAGAUUUAUAUAAGUUUAAUAUUGCUUUACUAGCAAUGCAGGGAUGGUGACUGAUAGAAACUCUAGACUCUUUAACAGUCAGAUUACUUCGAGCAAAAUAUAAUUAUGGGUCUAACUUUUUGGAUACCUUAUUGGGUUCUAACCCAUCUCUGAUUUUGAGAAGUAUAUAGUGCUACAAAGCUUUACUUCAAUCUGAUAUUGGGUGGAGGAUUGGAUCAAGGUUAUCAAUUUUAAUAUCGAAGGAUUAUUGGCUACCGGGGAGGAGUAAAGCACGAGUUAGUAUGAGUAGAGUAGAGGGCUUGGAGUAUGUAAGUGAUUUGAUUAUCCCAAAUCCAACUCGAUGGGAUAGACAACAAAUCUAUUCAACUUUUUUAGAGGAAGGAGGAAAUAAGUUAGUAAGUAUCCCUCUCCCUACUACAAAUCAAUCUGAUAAAACAGCUUGGAUUAGAGAACAUUUUGAUUGGGUACUUAUUCUGUCAAAAGUGGUUAUAAAGCCCUUUUAGAGCCUUCCUAGUUGAGUAAUUUGGAGCAGUUCAAUUUUAAGCAAAUUUGGAGUUUAAUGCCAAAAUUCACAUUUUAUUAUGGAGAUUUGAUAAAAAUUACAUUCCUACUUUUCAAAACUUGCACUUUAGAAGAAUUAUGCACGAUAAUAAUUGCCCGCGUUAUCGGGAUUGUAGUGAAUCGACUGUUCAUGUUGAGCGAGACUGCACGUUUGCUAUGCAGGUCUGGUCAAAGUUAAAUUAUCGGUGGCCAAGUUAUGUUGCAGAUUUGAAUUUCAACGAGUGGUUAAACUAGCUAUUCGUUAAUUCUGCCAGUAAUACUAAAGAGGAAAUUGCCAUUACAAUAUGGGCAAUCUAGUUUGCCCUUAACAAGCAACUGCAUGAAAGAGAAAUGUAAAGUGUGAGGAGGUUAUUACCUUUAUUCGGGGAUAUGGUAGGGGAUUAUAGAGAGAUGUCAUGAAUGUUAAAGCAUCCCAGACCCCGAGCCUUAAUUAAUUGGGAGCCUCCACCUAUGAACUUGGUCAAAGUGAAUGUGGACGUUGGGUUUUCUAAGGCAAAUAAUCGAGCAGUUCAGGGUUUCUAAUUAGGAAUAAUUACGGUAAUUUAAUGGGCUCGAGAUUCAGAAUGCAUAACCUGGUUAGGAUGGUGGUGUUGGCCGAAGCAAUGGCUGUUCUGCAUGGUCUUCAGUUUGCGAGGGAUAUGGGUUUCUCGAGAGUGAUCCUGGAAAGCAAUUCGAAAAUGGUUAUUAGGAAUCUCCAAGCAUCGGAGGAGGAUUAUUCAGAGACAAGGCGAAUUACCUGGGAUGUGAAGACUCUGGCGAGGGGCUUCGCGUCUUGUCGUUUCGAAUUCUUCAAGAGAGAAGGAAAUAAACUAGUGCAUGCAAUGGCGUCUGAAGCAAUGAAACACUCGGAAGAUUCAUUCCGGUUAAAGGAUGCUCAGCUUCGGGACUUGGAACUGGGGAUCUAGAUCAUUGUUUCCACCAACCGUCGUAGUUGCCUCCCUAUUCUGUCUGCAGUUCUUGGGUGAGAAUGUUUGCAACUCUAUGCAUCGAAUCUCAACUCUCUUCCUCUAGUUGAUGGCUCUGUUUGCCAAUCUUGGGAACGUUUCAGGCGGUUUUGGGUUGCUGGUUAUCGAAGGGUUUGGAAGAAGCUCCUGGAUGUGUUUCGUUUGUUACUUUAUUGUUUCUAAUUUGUUUUUUAUCUGACUUUUGUUGGGUGUUGUUUUGCUUUUGUUUGGUUUGGGUUUUGUUCUACUUUUGUUGUGUUUGGGUUUUAUUUGUAAUUUGUUUUGGACUUCCAAGCCUAGUUGAAGCAAAACGGACCGUAUUUUCAAAAAAUAAAAAUAAUUUUACAAUAAUUUUAAAAUAAUUUUAGUAACAAUUAGUUCUAAAACAAUUCUAAGACAUUUGUCACCUAUUACAUGUUGACAUAUCAACAUAGUUUGAUUUUAUAAUUAAAUUAUUAGUGAAACAUUAUAAAAAAAUAAAAUAGAUUCAUAAUUAAUAAGUGCAUUUCAAUUAAUACAUACAAUUAGCUAGUAUCACAUAUAUAUAUACAUAUUAAAUCACAUAUAUUAAAAGGUUUUAGUUAAAAAUGAAAAUAUACACAUGUACACACCCUUUUUAACUUAUUUCCUCCCUAAAUUCUUAAAAUAUUGAGGGCUUCACAAUUUAACACAUCUUCCAAAUAGUAUAGAAAUUAAUUUACUUAAUAACCUUUUUAAAAUUAUCCAUGAAUUUGACUAAUUAUUUUAAAUAUUUAUUAAUUGAAUAUUGUCCACUUAUAUUUUCAAUAAAAUUGAUUAAUUUUAUCUCAAAUCAUAAACUAAUAAUUCAAAUGAAAUUCUCAGUUUGUUUUACUUUAAAGACAAAAGUAAAUUUUUUUAAUUUAUUUUAUUUUUAAGUUAAUUUAAACAUUUUUAGAUGAAUAUAAUUCCUUAUGCCUAUAACAUGGUAAUACUAUUCUUUUAAAAAGUCAUAAAGCAUAUAAGACACAAUAUCUUAAACAAUAUAUCAAUAUAAUAUAUAUAUAUAGACACAUAAUACGCAUGUUCUUUUUUUCUAUAUUGAUUUAUAUAUUAAUUAAUUUAAUUAUUUAAAAUUUUACAAUAGUUCAGAUUUAUGUAAUAACGAAUAACGAUAAUUUUUAACAUGAAUAUAGAUUUGGUAUAUAUGAGCAUUAAUUUAUAUGAAAUUACAUUAAAAAUAUUAAAUUAUGUACUUAAAUAUUUAUUUUUUAAAAUUAACAACAUACGUAAAAAAUACCAUAUAUGAGUUUUACAAUUUCUAUAAUAUCAUAAACUAAAGGGUAAACUAUAAAAAUAGUCACUUUUAUUUGUCUCAGAUUACAUUUUUGUCACUUAUAUUUAAAAUAUUACAUUUUAGUCACUUACGUUAUCGUUUUGUUACGAAGUGGUCACUUUACCGUUAAGCUUCAUUACCUCCCUAACGGCGGUCCUACGUGGCAGUCCAAAUGAGUUUUAAAUGCCAACUUGGAUGUCCUACGUGGCAGUCCAAAUUAAAUUUAUUUAAUUAAAAACCUAUUUUUAUUUCAACAACUAGACAUCCAAGUUAACAUUUAGAACUCAUUUAGAUUGCCAUGUAGGACUGUCGUUAGGGAAAUAACAGAGUUUAAUAAUAGAGUGGCCACUUCGUAAUAAAACGAUAACAUAAGUGACUAAAAUGUAAUUUCAAAUGUAAGUGACUAAAAUGUAAUCUGAGCAAACAAAAGUGACUAUUUUUGUAGUUUAUCCUAAAUUAAUAAUAAAGUAUUAAUAUUUCUAUUUUUUAAAAUUAUUUUUCAAACUUUACAGAUCUUAAAAUUAUUUGAAAUUAAUAUAAUUUAAUAGACAUAUAUAACAAACUCGUGCAUCGCACAAGAUAAAAAUAUAUAUACUACAGCAAUUUAAAGUUACAAUUAAUGUAGAGUCAAGAGUGCCCUCUUAGGUUUCCCUAAGAAAUAGUGAAUACUGUGGUUGGGAAGAAGACGAGCGGUGACUCUGAAACGAUGGAUAAUAGGAACGAGAUUACUCUCCUUAAAGAAGAAUUAAUUCAAUUAACAGCGAAAAGUUCGUUAGUCACUCCAUCCGAGAAUCCGACGCUGAUCUGUUCGAUUUGGACAAGGAAAUCGUAUAAUCUAGACAAUCUGAGAGCGCAAUUAAGGAGUAUCUGGAAAACAAAAAAGAAGUUUGAGAUUCUUAUUACUGGUCAGAAUUUAUUUACAAUUUCUUUCGAAGAUGAGGAAGAUUUAGAACAGAUCUUGGAGGGCCGCCCAUGGUUUUUCCAAGAACAAUUAAUCAUCUUCGAUAAAUUGACAAAACCUGUAGAACGUAAUAAGAUUCAAUUGAUUUUCUCUCCUUUCUAGUUAAAGGUUGCCCCAUGUCCACCUGAGUAUGAUAAGAAACAUUUGAUACAUGCAACUGAAUCUACCUUUAGGGGAGUAAUUCGAGCCGAGAUAAAGAGGGAAUUCUGCCGAAUUAGAGUUAAUUUGAAUAUUCAAAAAUAGCUGAGAAGAGGUAUUUUUGUUUCUCCGAAUGGAAGAGGGAAAAUCUUGUUAUCCUUUAAUUAUGAAAAUCUCCCAACUUUCUGCUUUGGUUGUGGAUGGAUGGGUCAUGGGGUUAAAGAAUGUUUCGAAAAACAAUUUAGAGAAUGCAGUAGGACAGAAGAUGAAUAUCCUUUCUCGCUAGCACUUAAGGCAGAAUCUUCCAUUAUUGGGAAAGAAAGCUUAAUACUUGGCUCACUAAUGAAAAAAUCAAUGAAGUAGUGUUUUUUUCAUAGGGGAAGAAGCGGCGAACAAAGAGGCUGAUCUACUACUGGGAGCGACGUACCUGCCUCACUGGCUGGAGAAGGAAGUGGUUUCGAAAUAGGAUUCUAUGAUUCAGGAAAUGAAAAAUGUAACACCCCUUACCCGUAUCCAAGGCCGGAACAGGGUACGAGGCAUUACCAGACUUAACCAUACACAUAGACGAAAACCAGGCCAUAAAAUUUCAUUUAAUUCAAAACUUUUCGAAUACAUACAUUGACUCAUAUUUAAAGACAUAUAACGUAACAUAAAUGAGCACUUACACAUCCAUAAUCAUGCAAUAACAUGUCAUUCACUUUAAACAUAUUUGCUUACCAUGCUGUAUAUAAUAUACAUUCUUACAUUAACUAGAACUAGACAUGCUAAAUCUUAUUCUCAUUUUAUACCAUCAUAAUGUAGUUACCAAUUUGUCCAUUAAACAUCCAUAUUCAAGGAAACAUUACUCAUUUCCAUUUAAUUCAUAAUCAACUGGCCUGCAUUUAACUUACUGGAUGUAUUACCAAUCAUGCAUAACAAACAAAACUAACUAUAUCAUCACAUCAAAACAUAAAACAUGGCAUGAUUAAUUAAACUUAUAAACCAUAAUGGAUAAAGACCACAUCUCAUGAUCAUAUACGAUAACUCAAUGCAGACUGAUACAUAUGAUCAAAGUCAUAAUAAUAAUACAUAUCACAAACCAACUUCCUAUGCAUGCCACUCACCUGAUAUUUCUAAUAUUUAAAUUAAUUCCCUCAAAAAUGAUAUUUUGAUAGUGUGAUUUUACCUCUGACGAUCUCUAACCCUGAACCGACCUUCCAAUACUAAAGAAAUGGAGAGAAUGGAUAAGCUUUACGCUUAGUAAGUCCAUAUGAAAUUAAUAAGCAAUUACUAACAUGCUUUUCAAGAUAAAAUACUAUAAUUGUACAAUUACACAUGUUUAGGUUAAGCUGUUUUAUCGAGUUAUAGUUACUAAAUCAUUCAUAUAUAAAGCUACAAAACUCUAAAUUUAGUUUUGUUAAUUUUUUUGAAACUAGACUCACAUACCUUUCUCCCAUAAAAUUUUCAAAAUUUUUGGUUUAGCCAAUUAGUAUAGUUUAUUCAUGAAAUUUUCCCCUGUUUUGCUGUCCAAUAGUUCUGACCUCUCUUCACUAAAAAUUAUUUAUCUCAUAUUUCGAAGCUCGGUUGAUGUUCCCGUCCAUUCCUCCUGAAAGUAGACUCAUUUAGGAUUCUAUUCAUAUAAAUUAUAACUCAUAAUUAUUUUUUUACAAUUUUUAACGAUUUUUCCAAGUCAAAACAGGAGAUCUCAAAUUCAUUUUGACACUGUCUCACAAAAAUUAGAAUAUCACAUAAUAUAGAACUAUUUUGCUCCCCCUGUUUCUUUUAUAUGAAAAUAGACUCAUUAAUCUUUAAUUCCAUAAUUUUUUUGAAAUUCAAUUCAACUUACAUAAUAUUUUGUGAAUUUUUAAAGUCACACAACUGCUGCUGUCCAACACUGUUUUACUACUAAAAUUCACUUACAUAAUUUCACUUAAUCCAUUUUGUCUUAUCGAAGUUCACUCAAAUAUCGAGCACAUUGCUCAUAAUUUUCAUAAACAUAUACCUGCAAUUAUUCACCAUAUAAUCAUGUUCAAAUAUAUUUUUACUUAAUCGAUUUUCCCGUUGAACUCUUUGGAAUAAAAACUGAUACUCAGUUGCCUGCACAUAUUUUCACUUGUAGACAAGGCUAUCUAGUACGCAUAGUAGCCUACACUUAGUACUACACAUGCGACCAAUUAUCCGGUACACGUAGUAGUCUGCACUUAGUAUUACACACGUGACCUAACCAUCUGAUACACGUAGUAGCCUGCACUUAGUACUACACACGUGAUCAAAGUUAUCGGGUACGCAUAGUAGCCUACACUUAGUACUACACAUGCGACCAAUUAUCCGGUACACGUAGUAGCCUGCACUUAGUACUACACACGUAACCUCACAAUAGAUCAUUCGUAUCGUUUCUAUUCCAAAGGCUCAACCGGAAAAUUCCUCACUUUCCAGCAUGUUACAUAUUUAUUCAUAGUCCUUUUUCAAUUUGCAAUUUAUAACAAAUAAUCAUUCUAUAGGCAGUCACAUUUCAUAUGAUAACAAAAUAUAAUAAAAUAAAAAAAAUCGAUAAAUUAUUUACGUACAAACUUGUCGAAAUCUCAUCAGGUACAACCCAUAUAAUAGUAAUUUAACAUUCAAUUCAUGUAACAAUAAUUUGCCAUUCAAUUUCACGACACAACAAGCAUCACAUUUUCCAUAUUAUACACACCAUCCAUCAACUUCUCCUAAACAUAUUAAAUCAUACAAUUUAUGCCAUAACAAUAGAAAAUUACAAUUCAAGUAUGGUAUUGCAUUAUUAUUAACACACGAACUUACCUCGUAUACGAAAAUGGCCAUUUUUACCAUUUUAUCUACAACUUAGUAUUUUGUCAAUUUUAGCUCGAAUUUCAAUUUUCCUUGCUCUAUCAUUACAAAUAUAGCCUAAUUAGGAAUCACAUUAUUCAAAAAAUCAUAUUUUGAUAAAAUUAAAAUUUUGCCCCUAAACUUUGUCAAAAUUACAUUUUUACCCCUAGGCUCAUAAAUUGAACUUCAUCCUAUUUUCUUAUGUUUUAUGACAUGCUGGUCAUUUUUCCCUUCUAUAACAACAUCAAAUUCACACUCUAACAUGUACUUAUGAACAUUAGGUAUUUUUACCGAUUAUGUCGUUUUACUCAUUUUCACGUAAAAUCGCUUAGUAAAAGUUGUUUAACACAAUUUCAAGCUUCAUAUUUUACCAUAAAACAUAAAAAAUAAACACAUUUCACCUAUGGGUAUUUUUUUAAAUAUAAACCUUUGGUUAAAUUAUUGCUAGAUUAAGCUUAACCAAGUUACCAGGAUUUCAAAAAUAUAAAGAACUUUAAAAACGGAGCUAAGGAGCACUUAGAAUCGAGCUUGGGAGUUUGAACAAACCUUAACCAUGGCUGCUGCUGGUAAAAAUGGUUAAAUGAAGAAGAUGAUAGCUAAUUUGGCUUAUUUCCCUUUUUAAUUCUUUUAAUUAUUAGUUUACCAAAAUACCCUUAACUUAAAAAUAUUUUAUUACUCAUUUCAUGUCUAUUUUUGUACAGAAAUUAACCAAUGGUCUAAUUACCAUUUAAGGACCCUCAAUUUAAAAUUUCAUAACAAUUGGACACCUCUAGUAUGUAGAACUCAACUUUUACACUUUUUACGAUUUAGUCCUUUUAACUAAAUUAAGUACCCGGAUGUCAAAAUUUUCAAACGAAAUUUUCACGAAAUUAUCCCGUAAAAUCGUAGACCAUAAAAAUAUAAUAAAAAUAAAUUUUUUGUCGUCAGAUUUUUGGUCUCGAAACCACUGUUCCGACUAAGCCCAAAAUUAGAGUGUUACAGAAAAAUUACAAGAACACUCUAGAGAUAACGAUGAAAGAAUUUUGCUGCAAUAUCACCUAUAAAAGGGAAGGAAACUUUAAGAGAUAAUGAUGGAAAAAUCUCGCCUCAAAAUUUACCUAUAAAAGGGGAGGCACAAUUAAACAACAAUUGACACAAUAUUGAAGAUGGCCAAAAGUAAACUCAAUGCAAAUGGGGCUUACAGAAGAGGUAGAUGAAUCUAACACAAGCUGGUUAACACAAGCUGGUAUAAUAAUGAUGAUCAUUUUAAAAUUAAUUCUAAACUUGUGGGACCCAAUAGCCCAAUAGAGUUGCUCCAGUUGGGCCACAAGAAAAAAAAAAUAGGCAUCGUUUAUCCAACAGGGGUAAAAGAGAUUCAAAUAUCGGUGAAUUUAUAAAUGGAAAACGAAAAUUUGAUCAAGUGGCAGAGAUAGCUUCAGAAUCAAAUGUUGAAGAUACAACUAAAAAAGAAAAAUACGACGAUGGGAAUAUGAAAGGUUGUACAACAUUAGCAGAGUCUCAGGUUUUCAUGGAGGACGAUGCUAAAUUUUCAUAAAGUAUAUCAGCGGCUGGCAAAUGGCCAGCUAACCGGGAACAAUGAAAAUCCUUUGCUGGAAUGUCUGAGGAUUGGGGAAUCCUCAGACGAAGGCUUCAACACUCGUUGAAGCUUUAUAAACACCAAAUGGUCUUCUUAAUGGAGACAAAAUUGGACAGCAUUCGAAUGGAACAUUUUCAAAAACGAUGUGGCUUUCAAAAUGGAAUGGAUAUUUCAGCAAGUGGUUCAUGUGGUGGAUUAAGUCUUGCAUGGAAUGGAAAUAAUUUAGUUCAAUUUUAUAGCUAUUCAAACAAUCAUUGAUGUGGAGAUUAAUGAAGAGGAUAUCCCAAACAAGUGGCGAUUCACUGGAUUUUAUAGUAAUCCAAAUCAAUCAAGCAAACAGGAGUCGUGGAAUCUUCUUCGUAGAUUAAGGAAUAAUGGGUCAUCACCAUAGUGUAUGUGGAGACUUUAAUGAGAUUAUGUAUGCACAUGAAAAAAUGGGAGGGAUAACAAAGAAUGAGAGACAAAUGGAGGAAUUUCGAAAAGCUUUGGAAGACUGUGAUCUGGCUGACAUGGGUUUCAGUAGACAAAAGUUUACUUGGGAUAGGGGUAACUUUGCAGAUACAAAUAUAAAAGAACGACUUGACAAGGGAGUUACAAAUCGAGAGUGGCUGAACUUGUUUCCUGAGUACUCGGUUCAACAUUUUUCUCUGAUCAUUACCCAAUUUUCAUCCAAACAAUGCCAAAUGUAAAAAGCACUAGAGGUAAUUUUUUUAUAUUCGAAUCUUGGUGGGUAAUUAAGCCAUCAUACAAAGAAGUCAUCUUGGUGACAGAAGCACUCUAGUAAUGUUUUGGAAAAAUUAGAGUAUACCCGUUUGGGUUUAUAGAAAUAGGCGAAAAACAUCAAAGGAGAUCCUGAAAGGAGAUCGAAGUUUCUAAGAGGUAGAUUGGCUGAACUUGAUAGAAAGGAUAGGGAUGAUGAUAUCCUUGUAGAGAUCAUUGAUGUGAAGUUAGAAUUAAACUGGGAGAUAGAGAAGGAGGAGAUGUAUUGGGAACAGAGAGCAAGAUCGAAUUGGUUGAGUUAAGAGGAUAGAAAUACGACUUUUUUUCAUAGUUAAGCAUUUCAAAGAUGUAGAAUGAAUAGAAUAAGAGGGAUGGAAGUUAACGAAGGAAUUCUCAAAAUAGAAGAAGAAGAAUAUUAGAAAACAUAAUAAGAAACUACUUCAUGAAGCUUUUUGAAUCUAAAGGAGUUGGCGAUACAAAUUACCUUCUUUCAGGUGUUAAUUGCACUAUCACUAAAAGCAUGAAUCAACUGUUGGUAGGAAAUUAUAAAGAGGAGGAAAUAAUUGAAGCAAUAAAUAGUAUAAGGCCGACAAAAGCUUCUAGACCUAAUGGAUUUUUUGCCAUCUUCUUUCAAAAACUCUGGCAUAUCGUAGAGAGGGAGGUAGGUGAUUUUUGUUUGGAAGUUCUUAACAAAGGAAAACCCUCAGAUCUUUUAAACCAUACGAAUAUUGUGCUAAUCCCAAAGAACCCCCAUCCGAAAAGUCCAUCAGAAUUUAAACCAAUUAGCCUUUGUUCGAUUUUUUAUAAAAUAAUCUCAAAAUCUAUAACAAACAGGUCCCAAAAAUUACUCGAUUAUUGUAUUGAUCCGACUUAAAGUGUCUUUGUACCGGUAGAUUAAUUACCGGUAUGCCCUUCUUGCAUAUGAAAUUCUACAUUCUAUGAGGAAUAAAGGAUUGGGAAAAAAGGUCUUACGGCUCUUAAGAUUGAUUUGAGCAAAGCCUAUGAUCGGGUGGAGUGGGAUUUCUUGAAGCAAAUGAUGGCUAAAAUAGGAUUUGAUGAGUCUUGGAUUCAGCUUAUUAUGAAAUGCAUCAGCAUUGUUUCGUACUCGAUCAUUUUGAACGAGAGGCCAUGGAAGGUUUUUAAUUCGGGAAGAGGCCUAAGUCAAGGGGAUCCUUUGAGCCCUUUUCUAUUUUCUCAUAUGCAGUGAGGGGCUGUCUACAUUAUUAAGACUUGCUAGUGAAGAAGGAAUAUUGAGAGGAGUAAAAGCGAGUAAAAGAAGCUCACAGAUUAUUCACCUCCUUUUUACGGAUGAUUGUGUUUUAUUUGGGGAAGCAACUGAAAAAGGUACAGAGACUUUUGAAAAGGUUUUAAAGGAAUAUGAAGUAUGCUCAGGGCAAUGCAUCAAUUAUGGAAAGUCGAUAGUUUUCUUUAGCUCAAAUACAACUGAAAUAAUUCGUUCAGCUAUUUCAGAUAGGCUGGGGGUCAAAUGGAAAAACAAUUUAGAGAAAUAUCUGGGCUUUCCGAAUAUGGUAGGUAGGAGGAAAAGGCUAGCAUUCCAACACCUUAAAGACCAUAUUAAAGUAAAAAUUGACUAUUGGAGUUCUCGAUUACUAUCGCAAGGGGGAAAAGAAGUUUUUAUUAAAGCUGUGUUACAAGCAAUUCCAACCUAUACAAUGGGAUGCUUUUUAUUACCGAAGUCAAUAUGUGAAGUUAUGGAACAAAUAAUAUCCAAGUUUUCGUGGAAAAACGGUUAUGGGAAAUGGGGGAUACAUUGGUGCUCAUGGAAUAACUUAUACGAAUUAAAGGAGUUUGGUGGUCUUGGUUAUCGUAAUUUUGCAAAGUUUGAUUUCGCCAUCCUCGCAAAGCUAGGAUGGAGAUUGAUUGAAAAUCCUAAAUCUUUUCUAGCACAGACGUUAAAAGCCAAAUAUUACCAGAAUUUUGAUUUUCUAAACUCAGAGCUAGGGAAUUUACCUUUAUAUACUUGGAAAAGUAUAUGGGCUGCAAAAGGUCUUUUGCAAACAGGACUAUGCUGAAGGGUGGGCAAUGGAUGGAAUAUUAGAGUUGAAGAAGAUGUAUGGGCUCCAAAUGGAAAAAAUCUGCAUAUUCAACAAUUAGUCAGAAGCCAAAAUAUAUUGAAGGUAGCAGACCUGAUUGAUAGCAACACUAGAUCAUGAAAAACAAAGCUAAUUAAAGAUACCUUUUCUGAAGAAGAUGCUCAGAGAAUUCUCCAAAUCCCAAUAGCUUACUCUCCACAGGAUGAUUUUCUGGCUUGGAGAGGUGAAUCAACAGGCGAGUACAUGUAAGGAGUGGGUAUAAAUUAUUAUUACAUGGUAAUUCUAUCAAUAACAAUAGAUACAACCCGAAUGAAAAUAGGAAAUGCUACAAAAAAAUAGUGGAAUAGUGAUCUCCCCUCAAAAUUAAUAAUUAUAGCUUGGAGAGCCACUCUAAACUACCUUCCUACAUUAGCAAAUCUAAGAACUAAAAGGUUAAUUAUUAAUGAAUCCGUCUGCCUGAGGUGUCUGCAAGGAGUGGAGAAUAGAGAACACGUCUUCCACGAAUGUGUUGUCUUAAAGGAAACAUGGGAUAACUUAAAAUUUGUCUGGCCUGAGGAUACAUCUACUAUGGAAUUCAUGGAAUGGUUUACCUGGAUUGUAUUAAACAGUAAUACUGAUAUCUGCCAAACUUUUAUUUGCACCAUCUGGGUUAUCUGGUCUGCUAGGAACAAAUAGAUUCACAAAGGUCAAAAAAUAUCAGGUGCCGAAACAACAAAAUUUACUUUAAAGUACUUACAAGAUCUAAACAACAUUAAUCGAAAAAAGCUUACCUUUAGUCCAAUAGUUGCAAAAUGGAGGCCUCUGGAGAAGGGUUUCUGCAAAAUCAAUUUUGACGCAACAGUUGACCUCAAAAUGCAAAGAUCAUGUUUGGGACUCAUAGUCAGAGAUUGGAGUGGGGAAAUCUUAGCCACAAAAACCAUAACUCAUGAGAAUAUACCUUUAGGGUUUGUAGCCAAAGCCGUUGCAUGUUUACAGACGGUUAUACUAGGCAGGGAUUUGGGAUUAAAAUUUGUCGAUAUUGAAGGGGACUCCUUGACAGUGAUAAAAAAAGCCCAAAACAAAAGCAGGGAUAAAUCGAUAAUAGGUGCAUACAUUCAAGACAUUCAAAAACUGAGUAAGAUUUUCUAUGAGAGCAAGUUUCAUUAUAUAAGACGAAAAGCAAAUGAGAAAGAGCACGAUCUGGCAUCAAAAGGCUUAAAAAUGGUAGGAAAUGCUUACCUUGCUCACAAAACAGUUGAUGAAGGAAUCACAGAAGCAGAGAUAGAUCGGGGAUGGGGAUGAAGAAUACCAAAAGGUUUAUGAUUUAGAGAAGAAAACUUAAUUGCUACCAGUCUUUUGUUCUUCUCCAGAAGCUGUUAAUGAUGAAUGAGAUAUUUUAGAGAGAUUUCUAGAAAACACCAGCUCAUUAAUACUGGGUUGUCU
rnacentral:lncRNA from 1 species